rnacentral:rRNA from 1 species
UAAGUACCCCGAGGAAAAGAAAUCAACCGAGAUUCCCCCAGUAGCGGCGAGCGAACGGGGAGGAGCCCAGAGCCUGAAUCAGUGUGUGUGUUAGUGGAAGCGUAUGGAAAGGCGCGCGAUACAGGGUGACAGCCCCGUACACAAAAAUGCACAUACUGUGAGCUCGAUGAGUAGGGCGGGACACGUGGUAUCCUGUCUGAAUAUGGGGGGACCAUCCUCCAAGGCUAAAUACUCCUGACUGACCGAUAGUGAACCAGUACCGUGAGGGAAAGGCGAAAAGAACCCCGGCGAGGGGAGUGAAAAAGAACCUGAAACCGUGUACGUACAAGCAGUGGGAGCACAGAGCAAUCUGUGUGACUGCGUACCUUUUGUAUAAUGGGUCAGCGACUUAUAUUCUGUAGCAAGGUUAACCGAAUAGGGGAGCCGAAGGGAAACCGAGUCUUAACUGGGCGUUAAGUUGCAGGGUAUAGACCCGAAACCCGGUGAUCUAGCCAUGGGCAGGUUGAAGGUUGGGUAACACUAACUGGAGGACCGAACCGACUAAUGUUGAAAAAUUAGCGGAUGACUUGUGGCUGGGGGUGAAAGGCCAAUCAAACCGGGAGAUAGCUGGUUCUCCCCGAAAGCUAUUUAGGUAGCGCCUCGUGAAUUCAUCUCCGGGGGUAGAGCACUGUUUCGGCAAGGGGGUCAUCCCGACUUACCAACCCGAUGCAAACUGCGAAUACCGGAGAAUGUUAUCACGGGAGACACACGGCGGGUGCUAACGUCCGUCGUGAAGAGGGAAACAACCCAGACCGCCAGCUAAGGUCCCAAAGUCAUGGUUAAGUGGGAAACGAUGUGGGAAGGCCCAGACAGCCAGGAUGUUGGCUUAGAAGCAGCCAUCAUUUAAAGAAAGCGUAAUAGCUCACUGGUCGAGUCGGCCUGCGCGGAAGAUGUAACGGGGCUAAACCAUGCACCGAAGCUGCGGCAGCGACGCUUAUGCGUUGUUGGGUAGGGGAGCGUUCUGUAAGCCUGUGAAGGUGUGCUGUGAGGCAUGCUGGAGGUAUCAGAAGUGCGAAUGCUGACAUAAGUAACGAUAAAGCGGGUGAAAAGCCCGCUCGCCGGAAGACCAAGGGUUCCUGUCCAACGUUAAUCGGGGCAGGGUGAGUCGACCCCUAAGGCGAGGCCGAAAGGCGUAGUCGAUGGGAAACAGGUUAAUAUUCCUGUACUUGGUGUUACUGCGAAGGGGGGACGGAGAAGGCUAUGUUGGCCGGGCGACGGUUGUCCCGGUUUAAGCGUGUAGGCUGGU